rnacentral:rRNA from 1 species
GAUGAACGCUGGCGGCGUGCUUAACACAUGCAAGUCGAGCGGUGAACACGGAGCUUGCUCUGUGGGAUCAGUGGCGAACGGGUGAGUAACACGUGAGCAACCUGCCCCUGACUCUGGGAUAAGCGCUGGAAACGGCGUCUAAUACUGGAUAUGUGACGUGAUCGCAUGGUCUGCGUCUGGAAAGAAUUUCGGUUGGGGAUGGGCUCGCGGCCUAUCAGCUUGUUGGUGAGGUAAUGGCUCACCAAGGCGUCGACGGGUAGCCGGCCUGAGAGGGUGACCGGCCACACUGGGACUGAGACACGGCCCAGACUCCUACGGGAGGCAGCAGUGGGGAAUAUUGCACAAUGGGCGCAAGCCUGAUGCAGCAACGCCGCGUGAGGGAUGACGGCCUUCGGGUUGUAAACCUCUUUUAGCAGGGAAGAAGCGAAAGUGACGGUACCUGCAGAAAAAGCGCCGGCUAACUACGUGC